ACCCGCUGAACUUAAGCAUAUCAAUAAGCGGAGGAAAAGAAACUAACAAGGAUUCCCCUAGUAACUGCGAGUGAAGCGGGAAAAGCUCAAAUUUAAAAUCUGGCGGUCUGUGGCCGUCCGAGUUGUAAUCUAGAGAAGCGUUACCCGCGCUGGACCGUGUACAAGUCUCCUGGAAUGGAGCGUCAUAGAGGGUGAGAAUCCCGUCUCUGACACGGACUACCAGGGCUUUGUGGUGUGCUCUCAAAGAGUCGAGUUGUUUGGGAAUGCAGCUCUAAAUGGGUGGUAAAUUCCAUCUAAAGCUAAAUAUUGGCGAGAGACCGAUAGCGAACAAGUACCGUGAGGGAAAGAUGAAAAGAACUUUGGAAAGAGAGUUAAACAGUACGUGAAAUUGCUGAAAGGGAAACGCUUGAAGUCAGUCGCGUUGGCCAGGGAUCAGCCUCGCUCUUGCGUGGUGUACUUCCAGGUUGACGGGUCAGCAUCAAUUUUGACCGCUGGAGAAGGACUUGGGGAAUGUGGCAUCUUCGGAUGUGUUAUAGCCCUUUGUCGCAUACGGCGGUUGGGAUUGAGGAACUCAGCACGCCGCAAGGCCGGGUUUCGACCACGCUCGUGCUUAGGAUGCUGGCAUAAUGGCUUUAAUCGACCCGUCUUGAAACACGG
rnacentral:rRNA from 1 species